rnacentral:lncRNA from 1 species
ACCAAAUAAAGAUUUUAUGCUUAUAUAUAUAUCUUUUGCUUUGUGUGUUUAAUAAAUAAAUAAAGUGGCUAUGCUAAUUUGUAUCUAAAUAAAACUUAAGCAUGGAUAUGAUAAAUAGUUGCUCUGCCUAAUUUGCAAAUUUUAAGUUCUCUCUCAAGUUUAGAUAUAACUGUUAUAAUUUAAAGCUUGCUCUAGACCUAAACUUGUGGGAUGAAAACUUGAUCUGAAGUCUAAGUUGUUAACGGAUACGAUAUGGGAAGGUUGAGCUGUUGUUUAUCUGUUCCUAGAGAUGCUAGAAUUCUGGAGAAUUUUAUCUUUGAAAAUCUUUAAAAUGUUGCAUGAUGAGUUCCUGUAUGAUGAGAGUUUAAAUUCCUACCACAGCCAUAUAUACAUGCUUGCUAGACUUUGAGCCACACAUUUAUUAUUUACUGCUUGUGAGCAUUGAGUGUGGUCAAGCUGUGUAGACCCUUAGGAGCUUGUCAUGUGGUUAAAUCAAGAUUCACUUGCACGUUCAUUCAUAUAUGCUACUUCUAUUCCGGAAGUACCAUCCACAUAUAUCCAUUCAUUUCCAUCUCCAGAACCACCUAAAAAUAUUCUACUCCUAAUCCGGGAGAGAAUAACCAAAAAUAUUUCUAUUUUCCCCUUGUGAAAUAAAUGCUCAAGUUAUCUUGUUACUACCACUUGCUAUAUUAUCUCAAGAGAUGAGUGCUCUAAAAAAAAUAUAUACGAGGAAAUAAAAAGGAGCAAGUGCUCGGAACAUCGAAAGAAAAAGAAAAAAAAAGUGAGACGAGAGGUAAAAAUGGACAAGUGUCCGACAGUAGAAUUAGGGGUGCAAGAUACCCACCUGAGAGAAAAGAAAAAGAAGAGCAUCUCAUUCUCCUCAUAAAGUUUUAAAAAGCAAGGAAGGUAUGUAUCCCCUCAAAGAGCAAAGUAGAAUUAGACUUCCACCACCAUUGUUUUCACCAUUGUUAUCACCAUCAUCACCAUACAUCAUUCAUUCACCACACAUGCACAUCUUGAUUAAACUUAUUGGCUUGUUUCUUUGGAUCCAUGGUUUGACUAUGCAAUAAAUGUCUUGUAAGUAUGUAUACUUUAUCUCUCACCUAUGAGCUCCAGAUAUUAAAGCCUUAUUAGAGUAGGGUGAGAGAGAAGACAAUGUCACUAUGCUUUAUACCACAAUACUACAUAUCUUGAGAGAAGGCAUAUACCAUCACUGCCUUGGUAAGGAUCCAGAAAUACCACAAAAGAGAGACCUGAGAGGAUCAUACAAGGAAUUUCUAAGUUUUAUUUGAAAAUCUGCAAAAACCCCAGAGCUAUAGCUGAUCAAGAAUAAGAGACAUGGCACUUGGCUAGACUGUUCUAUCUUUUAACCACUCAAGACAGAAGUGACAGUUACAAGUCCCAUGGUGUAGGUAAAGUAAGUAAGUUUUAAGUCUUGACAGUUUACUCUAAACUCAGAGAUGAGAUCUUAUUUAAAAGCAUGUGUACCGUCAAAUUUUUAAUAAUAUUGCAACAACUUAUGAUCCAUAGCUGAGUCUAUCCUUGCUCAGGGACGAGCAAGAGGUAAGCUUGGGGGAGUUUGUUGACGGUCCUUAAGUAUCAAAUUUAAUUAUCAAAUAAAUAAAGAAAAGGAUCCAAAUGAAAUCAACAUCUAGACUUAUGGUUUUAUCUGACAGAAUUCCACGAGUUUUGGUGUUUGUCUAUUUCUGCAGGGGGUUAUCAGGAAAUAUGGAAGAAAGGCCCACAUGUCAGGAUUACGUAAAGAUAUUAACGUGCUGCGCAAUUAUCUUACAUCUAGAAGACUCCAGAAGCCACGAGACCGAAGCGGAGGCGAAACGGGGCCAGACCCUGGGCGGCCGCCCAGUUGGUCAGGGCGCCCGCCCACCUCCUGAGUCCAAUCAGGACUCUGCUUUGCGGGAGAUUUCCACCGAUCUAAAGGAUGAAUCUAAACCAUACAAUCUAUGUCGGUUUGAUCCAAGGGCCCAUAUUCACUUGAAGGGACUAUAAAACCAGACCCCCUGGCCCCUGAAGGAGAGAGCCUCUCAACCCUAAUUCAUUGUUCCAUCAAGGGAGAAGAAGCCUCUGAUCAAGAUUAGAGCCACCACAUCAAUUAGAUAUCUAGAUUAGCAUAGCUACAUAGGAUUAGAACUAGAAGGAGUCAAUCUUCGAUUGGUUUCCGGAUCUGUCAGGAGGAUUCUUGGUAAUUCUCUAAUUGUGCUUCUAAUUGCUUUCUAAUUAUCUUUGUUCUUCAAUUUUAUGAAUAUGACUUUGUUCUACUUCAAUAUAUUGCUUAUGACUUUGCUCUACUUGCUUAUAUUCAAGAUUAUAUUGUUCUUAGUUUAUCAUAGUUAUGUACUUGGCUUAGUUAGAUUCGAUCUAUAUACAUGCUUAGGAUCGUAUAGCGUUUAUCCAUCGGAUCCAUGGGUAAAUGAUAGAUAUUGUGUAGGCGUGGUGCUUAUACCGUAUUUAUCUGCGAUUGUACCCAAUAUGCCAGAUCGUGGGGUGGUUCGUGAUAGUGACAGCUUCAUUGAUUCUUAUAUAUUCUCCCUCUCGUGUAUUGGGCUGGAAGAGCAACAUUAUUAUAGGGGAGUGAUUGCUAUGUUUCUCAUAUUCCUUGCUAAUAUCACUAUGCAUGGGCGUAGUCUUGUCUCGCAAUGAUUGCUAAGUAUGCUUGCACUAACAAUGAUAAUGCUAGACUAUAUAGUUGAGAAUAACUUAGGGAAUAUUCUUGUAGUUCGUUCUAAUACCAUAUUAAUGACUUUCUAGAGUAUCUAAUUGAGGUGCUUAUCAUAUUUAUUAUGUGGCUAGAUCAGAUUAAUUAUCCUUGUCACUAUUAUUAUUUCAUAUAUCUUUUAUGUGACACUUAUCCCUGUAUGAAGAGUUAGAUAUAAUGUUCUCAAUUAUACAUGCAAUGAUAGAUGCUCAAUCUCAUAUUCUUUUCUGUAAUCAUUAGUGAUGAUUUCUAAUCCCUUCCCAGUGGUAAAAAUAUAAAUAAAGAUACCUGGAAUACUUCCCGGUUAAAAUGCUGCAUCGGUAUUAAUCUGUGCGCUUGCAGAUCCCAUUCAUUAUUUAUUUAGAAGAGCAAUUGCAUAUUUCAAUACCGCGUCUCUUAUGUCAUGCUGGGGAUGACAACUUGGCUUAAGUGGUGUGAGGGAUAGGUUUGGCAUUUUUGGCACCGUUACUAGAUUUAGAGAACUUAGUCUAUUUUUGGUAAUGAUGUUAAGAAUACCCAACAAGCAUUUUUGGCGCCGUUGCCGGGGAAGGUUGAUUACUAAUCAGGAAUGGAAUAAAAGAUUUUGAGUUAUCAUUCGCAUCACUAAUAUGAUUAAGCUUAUCUAUUCUCUCAUACAGUUUUACCCCGAUAUUUUUCUAUUUUAUCUUAUGCAGGGGAAUGUAUGAAUAGAAGACAUCUUCCAGGAAAUUUUGUUGACAAUCCUGAAGCAUUAUUCAAGAUGACGAGAGCGAAGCUAAAGAAAUCAUCAACACUUCAGCAAGAACCUUCAUCCAAUGAAGAAGAUCACCGGAACUUGUCUUCAGAGUUCGAAGCCAUGGCGAACAAAUCGAUCCGCGAGUUCUCAGCUCCCACUACGGACAACAUCCGCACUGGACCUGCUGCAGAGAUCGAUGGCAACUUUGAGCUCAAGUGUGGACUUAUUAACAUGGUGCAAUCCAACCAGUUCUGUGGGAAGGCACACGAAGAUGCUAGUGCUCAUUUACAACACUUCCUGGAGAUUUGCAACACAUUCACCAUACAAGGAGUUUCCAAAGAUGCUAUACUACUUCGCCUCUUCCCAUUCUCACUAUUAGGAAGAGCGAAGCAGUGGUUCUACGCUACAAAGGAGAAGAAUACUACGUGGGCACUCUGCUCAACAAACUUCCUGGCAAAGUUCUUUCCCAUGGGCAAGACCAAUGCUCUCCGUGGGAAGAUUACGAGUUUUCAGCAACAAAAUGAUGAAUCUGUUCCAGAAGCAUGGGAGCGCUUUCAAGACUACAUCCUAGAAUGUCCCCAUCAUGGAAUGGAGAGUUGGCUACUGAUGCAGACGUUUUAUCAUGGGCUCGGCAACAGUGCCCGAGAGACCAUGGAUGCUGCAGCUGGAGGAGCAUUCUUAUCACUUACUAUACGACAAGCCACAGCUCUUGUGGAGAAGAUGGCGUCCAAUCAAAGCUGGAAUGAAGAGAGGAGCCAGACACGCAAGAGAGGUGGAGGUAUGCAUUAGCUGAAGGAGGUAGACAUGCUGUCUGCAAAGCUAGACCUGCUCAUGAAGAAGCUCGACGAUAGAGCUGGAGAUAAGAAAGAAGUUAUGCACAUCUACGACUCUCACAUGACUUGUGAGGAGUGUGGAGACACUGGACACUCAGGCAACCACUGCCCUGAGAUACUUGAGGAUGUGAACUACAUCAACAACAACAACAACUACUACUACAACCGUCCUCAACAAAAUCAAGGUUGGAAUCAACAGAGGCCUAACUACUCAGUUUGCAGAUCAGACGAUAACUUUCCCAAAAGGAAUAGUGAGGAACCUUUGUGUCCGAGUUGGUACCUUAUAUGCCCCAGCAGACUUCGUAGUGGUAGAGACCGGAAAUGAUGAGAGAGCACCUAUCAUCCUAGGGAGGCCAUUCUUGAACACCACAGGAGCUAUCAUCUACGCUAGUGCUGCCAAGAUCAGUUUCUACGUCAAAGGAAAGGAGACGUUUUUCUUCAAGAACAAGACUACACAAAUUCCAGAUCAAUCCAGACGUGAAUCAAGGAAGAGGACCAACAGGAGGAACAGGAACAAGCAAGUGUGGACCGAGUCAGCUAAGAUGGUCACUGUAGUCCAUGGAGGCCAAGAUCAUGAACUUAAGUCACCGUUUUUAACCAAGAAGGACGACCCAGGAAUGCCAAGCAUCUACUGCUCCAUAAAUGGAUAUAACUUCUACAAGACGAUUUGCGACACCGGAUCGGGCGUCAACAUAAUGGCCGCAGUCACUUAUCGGCUCUUGUUCGGGACCAUGCCACUAAGACCAACAUACAUUCAGCUCCAGAUGGCAGAUCAGACAUUUCGAGAAGUUAAAGGAAUAGUAUCUGAUGUCCCAGUCAAAAUAGACGAUCACUUUGUCUACACAGACUUUCAAGUUGUUGACAUGGGAGAAGACGAGUAUGAUCCACCCAUCAUCCUUGGAAGACCGUUCCUCAGCACCGUUAAAGCAAUUAUCUACAUUGGAACCGGAGAAGUCCAUAUGCACUUCCCCUCAGAAAAGGUACGCCGUUAUUUUACUGACCCUAACUAUAUCAUUGAAGAAUCUAUGCAGGUCAGAAAAAGACGCAACCGCAACCAGAGGAGGCAGAUCAUCAAGGACGGAUGAGCAGACUAUGAAGGAGAAGUUGUAAGAUCAGAAGACGUUGAAUUUAAACAGAAUUAUCCAGAGGAGAUCGAAGCACCGAGUCAGGUAUGGAAAAUGAAGAUAACUAUACAAGAAGAGGAGGCGCUGCCGGAAGUACCGACUACGCCACCCAACGAACCUCAGGACGAUUAAGAAAAUGGAGAGUCCCGUUCGGAGGACUUAAAAACACCGAACGCCUUGCCAAGAGGUAAACUUGGUAGUUAUCCUUUCUCUUUUAAUUAUUUCAACUAGUUUACUUAGUUAAUCAUGUUCAUGCUAUACUAUCUUCAAAAUAAAAAAAAUAUAUGUGAAAAACAGUAAGCCCCAUGUGAGUAUACGAGUGGCAUAAAACCCAUAAGUACAUUCACUGUGGUGGCAUAAAAAUAAAAUAAAUAUUUUUCUGCUUUAUAAAAUGAAAAUAUAAAAACAGGGAGUAAUAAUUAUUAAGGAGUCUCAACAUGAUAAAGGCUAGAUAUUUAUGCUAACACUUAAUCAGUUCCACAAGCUUUGUUGUCUAUUUGAGCUCCAUAGAAUUUAGGAAGACUAGCAGACGGAGGACAUUCUAAUCGCUGUCAGAAUGCUGCUGACUUUCAAAUACACCUCUGUCACCUGCUAGCUACAUCAAGAGAAAUUACGUCAAAAUUCAGCUUGGGGGAGAGCACCCCCAUUUAUCCCGAUAAGUAAUUCUAUCUAUCUAUCUUUAUACUUAUAUUAUAUUAGAAUAUUAAAAUACAUAAACUAUGGGAAAACCAAAUAAAGAUUUUAUGCUUAUAUAUAUAUAUCUUUUGCUUAGUGUGUUUAAUAAAUAAAUAAAGUGGCUAUGCUAAUCUGUAUCUAAAUAAAACUUAAGCAUGGAUAUGAUAAAUAGUUGCUCUGCCUAAUUUGCAAAUUUUAAGUUCUCUCUCAAGUUUAGAUAUAACUGUUAUAAUUUAAAGCUUGCUCUAGACCUAAACUUGUGGGAUGAAAACUUGAUCUAAAGUCUAUGUUGUUAACAGAUACGAUAUGGGAAGGUUGAGCUGUUGUUUAUUUGUUCCUAGAGAUGCUAGAAUUCUGGAGAAUUUUAUCUUUGAAAAUCUUUAAAAUGUUGCAUGAUGAGUUCCUGUAUGAUGAGAGUUUAAAUUCCUACCACAGCCAUAUAUACAUGCUUGCUAGACUUUGAGCCACACAUUUAUUAUUUACUGCAUAUGAGCAUUGAGUGUGGUCAAGCUGUGUAGACCCUUAGGAGCUUGUCAUGUGGUUAAAUCAAGAUUCACUUGCACGUUCAUUCAUAUAUGCUACUUCUAUCCCGGAAGUACCAUCCACAUAUAUCCAUUCAUUUCCAUCUCCAGACCCAUCAAAAAAUAUUCUACUCCUAAUCCGGGAGAGGAUAACUAAAAAUAUUUCUAUUUUCCCCUUGUGAAAUAAAUGCUCAAGUUAUCUUGUUACUACCACUUGCUAUAUUAUCUCAAGAGAUGAGUGCUCUAAAAAAAAUAUAUACGAGGAAAUAAAAAAGAGCAAGUGCUCGGAACAUCGAAAGAAAAAGAAAAAAAAAGUGAGACGAGAGGUAAAAAUGGACAAGUGUCCGACAGUAGAAUUAGGGGUGCAAGAUACCCACCUGAGAGAAAAGAAAAAGAAGAGCAUCUCAUUCUCCUCAUAAAGUUUUAAAAAGCAAGGAAGGUAUGUAUCCCCUCAAAGAGCAAAGUAGAAUUAGACUUCCACCACCAUUGUUUUCACCAUUGUUAUCACCAUCAUCACCAUACAUCAUUCAUUCACCACACAUGCACAUCUUGAUUAAACUUAUUGGCUUGUUUCUUUGGAUCCAUGGUUUGACUAUGCAAUAAAUGUCUUGUAAGUAUAUAUACUUUAUCUCCCACCUAUGAGCUCCAGAUAUUAAGGCCUUAUUAGAGUAGGGUGAGAGAGAAGACAAUGUCACUAUGCUUUAUACCACAAUACUACAUAUCUUGAGAGAAGGCAUAUACCAUCACUGCCUUGGUAAGGAUCCAGAAAUACCACAAAAGAGAGACCUGAGAGGAUCAUACAAGGAAUUUCUGAGUUUUAUUUGAAAAUCUGCAAAAACCCCAGAGCUAUAGCUGAUCAAGAAUAAGAGACAUGGCACUUGGCUAGACUGUUCUAUCUUUUAACCACUCAAGACAGAAGUGACAGUUACAAGUCCCAUGGUGUAGGUAAAGUAAGUAAGUUUUAAGUCUUGAUAGUUUACUCUAAACUCAGAGAUGAGAUCUUAUUUAAAAGCAUGUGUACCGUCAAAUUUUUAAUAAUAUU